GUAUUUCAGGAAGUAGGAUUACAGAGUUACCUGGAUAACUGCACUGAGUAAAAGCUAGAACAGCUCUUUUUACUGCAGUCCAUGUCCCAGAUUAGAGAUGGUUCUAUGUAGUGCAGAUAUCCUGCUAAUUAGGUAAUCUUGCCUUGUGGAAUGCCCCCCUUAUAUUGGACUAGCUUUGUCUUUUAGCUUCACGAGGGGUGAAGUUAAGAUCUGGACAGGAGAAACAUGGCCGUAGUUACGUACGCCUAUUCUGAUGUGCUUUGGGGUUUGCAGUCGCUACUUCCCGCCAUUGAUCGCCAUUGAGAGUGAUCAGUCAUCGCGGACGAAAGCGCUGUCAGGGACGACCGGAGCACUGCCUCUGUCAUCAGGAAACAAGGCCGCGCGGCCGAGAGGUCCCUGCACCUGGAGCAGGAGCCGGGCCGAGCCGGGGCCGCUGGCGGACGAACGUUCCCCUUCGUGGAAAGCUACGAUGGGUUUGUGGCCAUGGCAGGGACUCAAACCCCCAGCCGGAGGGAGGGUGCAGGAGGAUGCGCGUAGCGCACGGGCUGACAGUCAGCUGCCCUACCGGACUGCUCCACGGGUCUCCCGUAUAUGACACACUUAACAUAGCUAAAUAUUUACUUAUUGAUUUACAUCUUUCUUCUCUUUGCCCGGCCAUCUGCCCUCUCUGACCAAUUACUAUCGCCAGGAGAACGCUGUUAUAUUUUCAAUCAUACUGUAUACGCUACUUACGCCAUUAGCAGCAUGUGAACAUCUGUUCAUUCACACAUGACCUGAUUUCAUAACGCACUGCAGUAUCACUGAUACGCUAGCCUGAUGACACGUUCAAUAUUUGACUGAGACAUCUGUUCGCUCUGGCCAGUUGAUUCAGGGUAGCCAUCUUGAAAGGGGUUGUAAUAUAUUUGUGCGAACAGGCAUUUAACACAAAAUAUCUUAAUUGGUAAAUAUACUGUACUUCCACAUGAAAGCCAAUGUCAGUCACUCAUAGCAUCGUAUGAUUUAAGGAACAUAACUGAGUCAUUGCAUGUGGAAUGAAUUGGGGGGGGGGGUUGGAGCCUAAAGCAAAUCCAUAAACUACAUAUUAUGAAUAAGGUCAACAAUUAAACUGCACAGCAUCAAACCAGCCAUUCAAAUAGGUACAGUUGGCCAGAUGUGGCCUGGCAGCCAAACUAGUCAUAUUUUAACAAUGGAAAAAAUAAACAGAUGUCAAAGGUCACUGAUAUGGCAGGCGUCCAAAGUGUGUAUGUACAUAUUAUUAUUUUAAAAAUAUCUUUUUCUUGGAACAAUUGUACUUCCAUCAAGGAGUUACAGUCGUAAAGGACAACUGAGUACAUUUAUACGUUAAAAGAUCAUUUCUCUAGCAACAAAUCUGAGAUUAUUUGAAAUGCAAAUUGGUUGCCUUUACAGGAAAAUAUUCAAGCUUUGAAAAACAUGAUAGGAUUAUGCCCCAGAAAUGUAUCAUACAAGAAUAUCCUCAAUGGACGAACUGCUUUCAUAGCAAUAACUUACACAUCACAUAAAUGCAUCACAUCUUCGGAAGAGGAAACAUAUCCACUCCCCUCAUGAGACUACAAUCCCACAAUGCCACUUGAUCUUAGUGUCACAAUGUUUACAAAUUCCAGACAAGAGGCUAUAUACAGUCACACAGACAAAAAGCAAGCAAUAGCAGUACGUCUGAAAUGCUGCAGUGCUGUUUUAAAACUUUCUAAAACACAAAGUACAUUUUCCAAUGUGUUUUCUCUUCUAUUCUAACAUCUGGUGCUGGAUAGUAAAUUUUUAUUAAAUUUUUCUAUGUACUGCACGUUGUUAAAUGAAUGGAUUUAUUAAUAAAUAAAAACUAAAAACUUUGUCCUCUAAGUUGAAAGGCAAGACAAGAUAGGAAGUGAAGAUGCAACGAUGAAUCUUCAAUCAUACUUUUCUGCCCCCUAGUGGUCAGAAUGUUCUAGCAACAUAUAUUUAAAAUUUUAAAUACUUAAUUUUCAACAUUAAUCUUCAAAUAAUAUCCUGUAAGCAAUGUUUAUUACACAGUGUAUAGUAGAACAUUUUUAUAAUAUAAACCUUUAAGCAUGUUGCAAUAAUAAAAAAGAAAAGUAAAGGAUUUGAUCACAGCAUGACUGAGAAAUAUUAUUAAUCACUCAAUAAAUCAAUCAAUCAACCAACCAAUCAAUCAAUCUGCGCAGAAUAAAAAUCAACCAAAAUUUCCCAAAC